rnacentral:rRNA from 1 species
AACGAACGCUGGCGGCGUGGAUAAGACAUGCAAGUCGAACGCUUAUUCUGCUGUAGCAAUACAGUAGAGUAGGAGUGGCGCAAGGGUGCGUAACACGUGGGUAAUUUGCCAUGAAGUUGGGGAUAACUUGCUGAAAGGCGAGCUAAUACCGAAUGUGGUUAGAGAGAGGCAUCUCUUUUUGUACUAAAGCUGGGGAGUCGUAAGACCUGGCGCUUUAUGANAAGCCCGCGGCCUAUCAGCUAGUUGGUGAGGUAACGGCUCACCAAGGCUAAGACGGGUAGCUGGUCUGAGAGGACGACCAGCCACACUGGAACUGAGACACGGUCCAGACACCUACGGGUGGCAGCAGUCGAGUAAUUUUUCUUCAAUGGGC